GUUCCACCCCCCACCCCUCCCCCUCUGUGGAACGCUGUUUGUAUUUCACAAGAGUUCACUUUCUGUCCUUUAAAAAAAUGAAUUUAAGUUUUAGUAUGUUCGUGUGUAUGUUUAAUGUAUGUGUGAUGAAGGAUUUUUGAUAUUUACAGAGGUUCCUGGUGACUUGCUGACUUGCAGACAGUGGUUGUUACAGACAUUGAGGGGGUCUAUGGUUUAAAGCAAGAAAAUACAUUUUAAGUAGCUACAAACUACAAAGCAGCUUGUAUGGUGAUCUAAUGCUACAUUGCACACAAACAGUAUCAAACUGAACUGUCAAAACUGAAAUUAUAUUUAAGACCCCAAAAAUCCACAGCCCCUUUUAACUCAGAAAUGCAAACAGUAACUUUAACUUAAAAGGGUAGUUUUUCAAACUUUUGCCUAAUUUCAAAACACUUUCAAAAAGGACGUUUACCUUAAAUAUGCUCUGCAAUUGAUUUGACUGGUAUCCUCGAUUUCCAUUGGUUUACAUCACCAGGGAGAACUGGUGGAAAUGUUAGCCUAGCCACCUGAGACAAAUUGAAACCUGUUGCCCCCGCUAGAAUUUUCUAAAUUAAAUGCGCGAUAAACUACAUUCUAACUUCAACCUAUGCUGGUUGUAAAUGUGAGCGCUUGUAAUGUCUUAUCUGUCGUCUUCAGGGCGAUUCGUUUUUUAAACUACGAGCUCUGGGUGUUCGUAAGCAGCUAAUAUUCCAUUAUUUUCUGUCUAGGUCCGUGUGUAGCCUACAUAAUAUUUUUAAUAUUUUUUUCUGGAUCAAAUGCUGCAUCCGUUGUCAAGUUGCUCACCCCUGUGUGGUUCAAACAUGACAGCCUGCUGAGUUCUGUGGCUCUUGCGAAGAUGAUGGAAAUCCCUUUCUCUGAGUACCAACUUUUUUCCCCUAUAUCUUUUGGAGGCUAAUAAAUACUUUUCCACAUGUGUAGUAUCUUCGUCUGCACUGGUUAACUGCGGGCGGCUGACGUCGCUUAAGAUUGCUCGCCGGUUGAUUGGACCGUGGAGUGUCUCGUCCGCGCGCUCCGCAAAUAACCCUCAUCCGCCUCCGCUGCAGUUUUCCGCAUUGCCUUACCUCAUUAAUUUUCGGUACAUCCAUUCACGGCAAAUUGCUGCUAUUUUUCCCCUGCCGCACUUUUCUGUCUGCUUAUGCAAACUGUUCGUCACUGGACAGCUCGUUUUCCACAGCUGUCUGUGCGCGUUUAAAAACCAGCGCGACGACAUGUAGGGAUGGAGCAGAGCUAAUUUCCGUGGCGGGAAACUGCUCACGUGCAAACACCCCUGGAUAUGGUACGGCGGCUUAAUUAUUAACCAGAUUCGCCCUCGCCCAGAGCAAAGGCUCUUAUUUCAAAGUAAGGCAAAAAAAGUAUGAAAAACGUCCGCCAUGUCAAAGUUGCUAGGAAUUGGCUUAGCUGUCGCUCACAUGUAAAGCACAGUAAGCUCUUAAAAUCUCUUAAAACCCAACCAAUUCGAAAAAUGUUUGUACAGUAGGCUACACAGCAGCCUGGCUAACUAGGUGCUUGGUGCAAUGGAAAGCCUCUCAGUUUUACAAUCCACAGAAGUUGGUCUACAAGGUGUGUGGCAUUUAGUUCAUUUAACCUGCCAGGUUAGAUUGAUUGUGAACCCUCUUGUAAUUUCUGUGAGCUGCUGGUCAUUGUUUUUUGUAACAAAGCCAUCCGUGUCACAUAGCUUCAGGUUAGCCUUCCAUUUCAUAUAACUGUUAUUGCUUACUGGAUCAAGACCUGGUUUGAUUUACAGUCAGGGCAUUGCCUGCUUUGUCUUUUAUUAACAGCCUUCAAACAGUGCAUUUUACUCUUUAGUGUGUCUUUUACUCAUUUCAUUUGUGUGCUGUGUGUUAUAUUUCUAACUUUUAUUUUGUAUUUUAAAAGUCAAUAUUUUGGUCUUUAGUAUUAUAUCUGAGAGUAACUGAGAGUAACUAAAAGCUGGUAAGUUUUCACUCUUAUUAUGUCUUUGACAUUGUAUGGCUUUGGCCUCUCUGAUAAGGCCUCUGUGAUUGUUUGUUGUGGAGUGAGAAGCGCUGUCAUUUCCCUUGGUCUUGAGCUAUGCGUGCAUUUCAUUUAGCAGGUGCAUUUCUGCACAGUGACGAAUGAGACUACUCAGGUUCGCUCAUGGUUCCAGAACACAAGGCGCUUGACUGAUUGGCCCAGUCAUCUAUCUAUGAUGUCACGCAGGAUUCUAGAAUUAUCUGCUUGGAACUGUAAGCUAGAAAAAGUAUGGACCAAGUCACUUUGAUGUCACCCAUCGAAUCUUUGUGGGCUUGGUUAAUACCAUUUUGAAGCCCAGAAGUGUGUGUUGUGCAAAUUGGAGCUCGAAACUGCACAGUAGGGAAAAGGGAGACCCUUAUAUGGGCAUAAAGUCCAGUUGUCCACUAGUAAGCGCGUGAGAUACUGCCUCGGCAGUGAUGCAGACUGAUUCGUCCCUAAUUCAUCAACAAAAUAUUCCAGUCUUGUCCAGUUAACACAAGUCGGCACAUGGGGAGACAUUAGACAAAGAAAAACACCUAUUGUGGCUGCAUAUUCUUGUGGGGUAAAAAGUAGGCUAUUGACUUCGUAUUUCGACUGUAUUGUUACCAUUGAGUUGCAUUGAAAUGGUUGGCUGAAACACCUAUACUGGAGCCGACUGAGCAAUGUCCCUCAACAAGACCAGGAAGUGAGCUUCAAAAACGCACUUGGUUUUGGCCACUUUUUUGGGACUUGAAUGGAAUUGACUCAUUGUGCCUCUGUAUCCACUCUCUGACUAGGUUGUAAAUCACCGGAAACUGUGAUGUCAAGGCAGGGUUGUGUCUAUUGAACCGAGCGUGGCCUCUGUAAAUAUGCAGUCGUAUAAAUAGCUGUGUAAAUUGCACUGGAUGAGCACGUCAGGGAAGCAAAUAUUAAUAAUUAAUCUUUUUUUUAAAUAGCCAGCCAUUGAUCAUUAUUCAGCCACUGUGUCAGGGGGAAUUAAUGCUGGUUACAUUUGGCAUGUUAUCCGUUUAUGUUGUCAGGAGUUAGUUGAAGGUCAUUUGUCUUACUCAUGGGAAAAAUCUCACCCAGUGUGUGAUUUUGAAUUCAAGCCUAAAAAAAUUAUGUUAUGUUUCUGUGGAGAACUUCUGUAGAACCUGAAUAAAUAGCAAAAUUGUA